rnacentral:rRNA from 1 species
CCUACGGGUGGCUGCAGUGGGGAAUCUUCCACAAUGGGCGAAAGCCUGAUGGAGCAACGCCGCGUGUGUGAUGAAGGCUUUCGGGUCGUAAAGCACUGUUGUAUGGGAAGAACAGCUAGAAUAGGAAAUGAUUUUAGUUUGACGGUACCAUACCAGAAAGGGACGGCUAAAUACGUGCCAGCAGCCGCGGUAAUACGUAUGUCCCGAGCGUUAUCCGGAUUUAUUGGGCGUAAAGCGAGCGCAGACGGUUGGUUAAGUCUGAUGUGAAAGCCCGGAGCUCAACUCCGGAAAGGCAUUGGAAACUGGUUAACUUGAGUGCAGUAGAGGUAAGUGGAACUCCAUGUGUAGCGGUGAAAUGCGUAGAUAUAUGGAAGAACACCAGUGGCGAAGGCGGCUGUCUGGUCUGUAACUGACGCUGAGGCUCGAAAGCAUGGGUAGCAAACAGGAUUAGAUACCCUGGUAGUC